GAGUGGCUCGGGGCGCGAGUGCCGUGUGGACAGCCGCGCUCACGCGCGGGCGUGGGGCAUGUCGCACACCUGCCCUCACGGCUCACGCUCAUGACGAGCCAGCCAGCCAGGAGCCAGCCAAACCGCCUCCACGCCGCGUUUUCCCGAUCUGGAAAUUUACCACGAGAGCGUCGUGACUGCCACAAACAUACGAGCACUGGGCACUGGUGAAUGAACGAGAGUGACCUGACCCCCGUGCGGCCGUCCGCCGUCACCGACCGAGCGCCGGGUCCCACCACUCCCCGUCCCCAACCCCUCGCGCUCGCUCCAGCCUCCAGCAACCGCGCUCCCUGUUCCUUUCCUUCCCAGGCGGCCAGGCCCAGCAGCGUGAAGUGAGGCCAGCUAGCCUAUUAUCAGCCUAUGGCGGCUCGGAUUGGAGCGGACGGGAAGGCGAUGGCACGCCGCGGCCGCGUGGAGCUGCGGCGGAUCGAGGACCGGGUGAGCCGGCAGGUGCGCUUCUCCAAGCGCCGCUCGGGGCUCUUCAAGAAGGCCUUCGAGCUCUCCCUGCUCUGCGACGCCGAGGUCGCCCUCAUCGUCUUCUCCCCCGCCGGCAAGCUCUACGAGUACGCCUCCACCAGGCAAAAGGCGUGGUGCGUCACUUAUCCAUUCAAACACAGGAAUUUGUUGCAAUCACGGGAUUGUAGAAGAAAACUACAAGAUGUGAUGAUGCUGAUGCUACAUAAGUCAUGCUAAAAUGUCUCGUUUAUUGAAGUAUUGUAUCUCAAAUAUAUUAUUUUUUAAUUUCUUUAUCUUGUAGUUUAUAUUUGAGAUUUUAUUAUUAUAUUUAGUCACUGCACACUCUCAUUAAAAGAGUAACGACCUUUUUGGUGACUAAAGAUGCUUAUGAAGAAGGGAGAUUGCUAUUAAAGAUUUAUGUAUUACAUUGAGCCCUUAUACGAUUUAUAUAGAGUACAUGACAUAAGAGACAAGGCAACCCAUAGAUACAUGUGGCAAUUCGAGACACAAUAUCUAGACUAUCAAAUAUACUCUAACACUCCACAAUCAUAGAGGGAGCAUGGUAGACGUUUAGACUAUAGAAGUCUAUAUGGACUAAAAUCCCCCAUAGUCGUGACGUUGUCGGAGUGCAGAUGCAACGACUUGGAGAAGAAACCGACGAGAAGCUGAUGUAGACGAUAGUUCUCUGUGUCGAUGUUGAGGUAGCCUAGUACAAGGAUGAACAGUUGUGGUCGAUAAUCUUGCAAAGGAUAGUUGUGGUCGAUGAAAGCUAUCGAGGUCACUAAGAAGUAGGAGCCACACAAGUCGUGUGCUUGAUGUGUUGUGGUGAUGGUGGCGAAUAGAAGGAAGCACCAUAGACAAAGAUGGUGAUGCAGUCAAGGCAGUCAAUGGAGAAGGUCGAUGGCGAAGUCGACAUUGUCGAAUCAACGUGGCUGAGGCAUGUGUGAGGUUUACUAGCUAAGCCCAAAAACACACCGGGGAUGAAGGUACGCACCAGUGUUGCUAGCAAAAGACAUACUAGGUAGAGGACCCCAACCAUACGUCAGUGUCUAAAGUGACUAGCAGAGAAGGCCUCCGCGAUAGUUGCAAUGUGUAGAAGAACAACGAGGAAGCAUGUGUCAAUGCACCAAUGGUUGUCGGUGUGGAUGAAGUAGACGAGGACAGAGGACGACACUGGCAACGAGAUUGUGAUGGACGAAGUCAAAGAAGUAGAUGGUUGACACAUCUAGGGACCCAGAGUGGCAGUGGUGAGAUCUGCAUUGCGCAAGGAGUCAUGGUGGUGCUAGAGUGUUGCAACAGUGGUGCUUAAAGAAGAUGACGAAGAGCAUGAACGGUCCAGGUAUACCAUGUGAGAGAGGCGCACAACGACGUAGUCGACGGUGAUGUAGGGGCAAUACAAGGAUGAAAAUAGGCGACGAUGGCGCAAAACCCGACCAAUUAGGAAGAAAAAGGGACCCACAACAACAACAAAUUUUGUUACAUCACCAAGUACCCACAAAUAGUCCAUUCUCCUAACUCAACUCACCCUCCUUAUCCUCGAUCAGAAGACUGAAAGAGGGAGAAAGAGAUAAACCACGAUCACAAAGGCUCGACUUGGCUAACAGGGAGAGGCACAUAGCCUAGCACAACCAACAUCCUCUUUUUCUUUGGCAGGGGUCUUAAUGGCUUUGUUGCUUUUCUCCUCAAAUAAAUCUCCAAAGAUCGCAUCCAUUGGAUUCACUAUGCAGGGGAGGCUAGGCAAUGCCUCUUUGAGCUUGUCGCCUGAUGUAUCCUCCUAGGCGGGCUUUUUCUCGACCUACUUCGACAUAGAAUCAAAGUUAACAAGGUCGACCCCGAAAGGACUUAAAAAUACCAUGAUGUUUGUUUUGUCAUUACCUCAAUUUUCUGAGCGUUCAGAACAAGACUCUUCAACAACAGCUCGUACAUGUUCUUCAGUGGUAGGGGUCUUUGCAAUGCCAGCAGGCUUCUCUGAGGCAACCUUAGAGGCCUCGACCUAGACCUUCUACUUCUCACCUUCAUGGUGUUUCCUUUCAAAGCGCUUGGGUGCUAGCAACUUUUCCUUUGCCACAAUCUCACUACCCUUGUAUUUUGCCUUUGGCUUCAAGGACUUUGUCGGAGGGCCCCCUCUAGCCUCCUUUUCACUAAUCACUCAACCCCUAUCUAUAAUUCUUACUUUGCAUUUCCUCUGCAAUCUAGCAUCAUGAUCGACAAUGAGGUUGGGGUAGUCUAGAUAUUCUAAGUCAUAUGCUUUGAUCACACGAUUAUGUAUUCUCUUUAUUGCCACUCACUAUCGCACUAAGUAGAUGAUCUCUUUCACAAUAUAGUUGCAUAAAACUUUGUUAGCAACUGUCUCCACCAUAAUGAGCCACUCAUUGCUCGGCUUUAUGAAGAUGCUGAAGGGAUUGAAUUUAUAAGGUAACUGAAUCAUCUCUCGAGCUUCAAUCUCCUUCGUGUUGUCCUCAUCUUUUGGCUUAGGUAUCUCCUAGCCAACUUUCAUAGGAAAUACAUGGUAGGCAAUAUGCUCUUGAAUUCGUCUCUUAGCACCCUAGGGGUCAAGGGUGACAAAGCCCAUGGGCUCACACGGCCUCUCCAGAAUCGUCACCACGACAACACGUGGAUGUCGUCUGCCCCACAACCAUCACCAUGAUUGCAUGCACAAAGGACAAAGGCAUGAUCCAACCGGUAGGAGAGCCCAACAACCACCAUGACAUGUAGAGAAACCAGCGAGCCUCUGAUUUGUUGAAGCUUGACAAUACAAUAACGACGAUGAACGCGACAAAUCAGAAGGAUUAGUCAUGCAUCCUAACUACGAGAGCGCAACUCUUGAUGGAGAUCAAUUUCCUCGAGGCAGCGCGACGACGACAGCAGAAGGGGAAGCCUAAGUCAUAGCCUAAACUCGUUAUACCAUGUUAGGGGGGUUUGCCAUCAAGGAUUGAUGUAUUGCAUUAAGCCCUUAGGCAGUUUAUAUAGAGCACAUGAGUAAGAGACAAGGCAAAUCAUGGAUAUAUAUGACAGUAGACGAGACACAAUAUCUAGACUACCAAAUAUACUUUUAACAACUUCUAACAACUAAAUAUAAAAUAUCUAAAAUAUUUGUUGAGAAGUUAACAUAUGAGAGAGAACCUAUAACUGUGCAACUAAUAUAAGAAAAAUAACAUAAACAUAUAACAAUGGGAAAAUUAUGACACGCUAAUAAGUCACAAACAAAAAUAACAACUAAUUAUGAAAUUGACAUGUAGUUGAGUAUUUAUACAAUGAUAUAUAUAAUAUCGAAAGUGCUUUCGAUAAUAUUAUGUUAGUUGAUCAACCGUGCUCAUAACUUGGUUGGAGAUAAAUCAUAAAUUCACAUUCUUUGUCACAAUUUAUUACAAGUUUCUAUUGUCCAAAAUAUUAUGGUUUAAACAAUUCAAUUUCUAUAGUGCAUGGGCAUGAUGCCUAAAAGCUUACUAGACUCUCUUCUCUUAUCAUUUUUUCCUAGAGCAUAUCUUUUGUUGCCCUAAAAGGUAAAAACCUAUCACUUGGGGGUCGCUCUCAAGUUUUGAAUGUAUACUCCACUUAUUUCAUUUGUUCGAUGUCCUCUCAGCUUUCAUUCUCAACUGAGCAUAUUUAGCCUUCAAGGAAGGGAAAGAAAAAGAGGAGACAAGAAAAACUUGGCUAUCAACUUCACUUAUAUAUCAAUGGAAGAAAACCAACUUCUAUUGGGCAGGGCCAUGUGCAUCAACUAGACUCUAGCACCCCCAACACAAAACCUGUCAUGAAAAAAAGGCGUGCCCAUACUGUGUCUAGUAGAUUCAGAACAUUUGAAGAUGGAAACUUCUUGUUGGGAGUGUGUGGAAGAAAACUUAGAAAGCUAAAUCCAACUCGGGAAACAUGGGGAAAUUAAUUACAAAUAUUUAGAAAGAGUGCAAAAAGCCCAACCAAACAUUUAGCUAACGACUGCGCCUUCUUAGAACCCACCCUACACGCCCUGAAACUUCUUGGCUUUUCCACAUGGAGCAUAUAGAGCUAGUCACUUUGACUUCUCUAGUACCUAAUCAUAACUUCAGAACCUAGACAGCCUAGAUGGUUGUCUCGGUAUGUAGUGGUCCAAACUCUACAGUCAGAUACAAGGAACAUCACAUUACAUUAAUAAAUAUGAUAGGGCAUAUAUGGUAGAGAAAAGUCUAUUAUUCAAACAGUUAACUUGGACAUCUGGAAUCUAGAUGACAUCAUAUCGAGAACUCUCAAAGGUAUACAUUAUCUUUCAUUCAUUCUUCAACUGAAUAGAUUUGAAGCCCAUGAAUGCAUAUUUUUUCUAAUCUGUAUCACCCAUCGGAAGUCCAUGUUUUUCCUUUAAAAUCCUUGUCCAUAGAAAGUCUAUUUUUAUUGCCUUUUUGGUUUGAUCCUAGACCUUCAUAUAAAUAUCCGAACCUUUUUUCCCAGUGAUCUACUUCUAAAUACACACCCUUUAUUUUUGAAAUUAUGAUAACAAACCCACAUACCAGAUUUAUCCGCAUUAUGAUUCAAGGGAAGAAAAGGUAAAAGAAUAUAAAUAAGGAGUUCGUAAACAAAAAAUGUCCUAGGUAUUUACAUUUACUUGUGUAAUUGCUUGAUACAAGCAUUUCAUUGGUUAUCCACUUGCGUAUAUGACUAGUAGCUCCUCUUUGAUACAACAUGUCAUUUUAGGACAAAAUUUGGUCAAACCUUGAAAACUACGAAGAUCAAUAACUUUUAAAUCUUUAGGUUUGGAUACAUGAUAUAUUUGCAUAUUUGUAUAAUAAAAUAGUUAUAAAAUCUUGAAAAUAUAUUCUAGAUGAUAUUGGUGGUCCAAGAUAUGCAUCAAAGACCAUGUAAAGUUAGAUGUGACAGAUAGGUUGUAUCAUGGCUCAGUUCUGAUGUUUUUAUAUGAUCAAGAAUAUAGCAACGAAAACUCUUAAAACAUCUAGAGAAACAGUGGUCCGAAACCUUUAUGAGAACUAAGUAGAGUAGAAUAGUAGUAUGGAAUGUGAUGGACCAGGGCAUGAACUCAAUAUCAUGAGGAAAAAGGACAUCAUACUAAUAAACUGUAUUUGACUGUAAGAUUCAGGAUGUAAUUCAUAAUAAUAUACUCACCUCCAAUAAAACUGCCUGCAUUUUUGUUCCACGUGAGGUGAAUAUAUAGAUGUUGAUUGUCCAAGAGUACAUUAUGCAAGGAGCUAAUAUCAUAUUCAUUUUUUUUCUCCUUUUUCAGCAUAGAGGAUACAUAUAACCGCUAUCAGCAAUUUUCUGGAGAAGGAAGGAAUAUAAAUGACGAUCGAAAUAGAAACGAUAACAAGGAUGAAGCUUCUUCAGAUUUGCAGUUGAUGCUGAGCAAGAUUGCGACCUGGUCUCCCCAGAGCAAUGCUGACGAAUCAGAUGUAGAUGAGCUGGAGAAGCUGGAAAAUCUUCUGAGAAAUGCUUUGAAGGAUACGAGAUCCAGGAAGAUUCAGAUGUUGGCGAAACAAAACAGCGGAGCUAGUACAAGCGGCCAGAAAAGUCCGGAGCAAGGAACGGCGUGAGCACGGAUCUGUCCAGCGUCCACCUACCUGGGAUUGCUCUUGCUUCCCCUUGCCGAUGGAUGCUUGUACUGAUUAUGACCUUGUGGGUUGCGAGACCCUGUGCUAGCUUUGGGCCUGCCAACCUGCAGUGUCCCUGGAGGGGACGGAGCUAGUGUAUGUAGUUUGAUGUUCCCUUUGUGUGUUGUGAUAUGCAGCCUACCUAAUGGCCAGAGCUUGGUGCUGCAAAUCCUGCAGCUGAUCUGGUUGCGUUUCAUGCUUGACAGUAUAUACAGCAUACUACUGUGUUUUAGUUCCUACAGACACUUGCUCAGAUGAAACAACUGGGCUAGGAAAAUCUAUCGAGCAAAAUGAUGGUAUUGCAUAAUA